UUUAUAUUCAGUAUGUUGUCAUUUGUAAUUUGUUGCAGAAAUAUCUACCAAAUUGUACUUCUGUAGACUUAUAAAUGUAGAGAGUAUUCAGAGAGUAUUCACACCUCUUGACAUUUUCCACAUUUUGUUGAAAAUGAAUUAAAAUGAGCCAGAAUUACAGCCUGAAUUAAAAUGGAUUGAAAUGGGGUUUUGUGUCGCUGGCCUCUACACACAAUAACACAAUAAUGUCAAAGUUGAAUUAUGUUUUUAUCAUUUUUACAAAUUUAUAAAAAAAAUUAAAGUGCUGAAAUGUCUUGAGUCAAGAAGUAUUCAACCCCUUUGCUAUGGAAAGCCUUAAUAAGUUCAGAAGUACAAAUGUGCUUGCAUGGAUUCACGCUGUCUGCAAUAAUAGUGUUUAACAGGAUUUUAUUUUUGACUUCUCUCAUAUCUGUACCCCACACAUACAAUUAUCUGUCAGCUCCCUCAGUCGAGCAGUGAAUUUCAAACACAGAUUUCAUCACAAAGACCAGGGAGGUUUACCCAAUUCCUUGCAAAGAAGAGCACCUAUUGGUCGAUGGGUAAAAAUAAAAAAGCAGACAUUGAAUAUCCCUUUGAGCAUGGUGAAGUUAUUAAUUACACAUUGGAUGGUGUCAAUAAAUGGCUGUGAUAGGAGACAACUGAGGAUGGAUCUACAACAAACCUCAAUAAAAUAACAUGAGAUGAACUCACCUUCUAAAACACAAGGCCAAAUCUACACUGGAGUUGCUUACCAAGAAGACAGUGAAUGUUCCUGAGUGGCCGACUUACAGUUUUGAUUUAAAUAUAGUUGAAAAUCUAUGGCAAGAUGGGAAAAUGGUUGUCUAGCAAUGAUCAACAACCAAUUUGAGCUUGAAUAAUUUUGAGAAGAAGAAAUGGACAAAUGUUGCACAAGGUGCUUCUAAAAAGUAUUGACUCAGGGGUGUGAAUACUUGUGAAAAUUAGAUAUUUCUGUAUUUUAUUUUCAAUACAUUUGCAAACAUUUCUAAAACAUUUUUUUUUCACUUUGUCAUUCUGUGUAGAUGGGUUAGAAAAAACAACAUUGAUUUAAUCCAUUUUGAAAUAUGGCAAAUCAUAGCAAAAUGUUACCUAAGUCAAAGGGGUACGAAUACUUUAUGAAGUAUUUUAUAGUACUUUAUUAACAUAUACAAUGUUCCUAUGUUGCAACAGCUAGAUUUACUUCAAAUGUAUUUGCCAUUUUUUUGUGGGAAAAUAUUACAAUUUAGUAUUAAUGUAGUAUUAAUUGUAACAAAUAUUACAAUGAUUUAUGAGCGUUUAUUUUAUAAAUACAUUAUUUCAAUAGUGAUGAAUGCAACUGGAUGCAAUUUUGGAGUAUAAUACCAUGUUUUAUUCUUUCUCAUUGCAGGGGAAAUGUAUUAAUUUCAGCCGACUGCAGAACCGUUAGAAGACGAAGAAUAUAAUCUACAAUGAUGACUAUUGUCUCGUUCUCCAAGGGUCUCCCUGCCUCCCUCCAGUCUCAGCCCAAUAGCUUCCCUCAGCAGCAGAAUGUCAACGUUUAAUUAAAAUAAUUAAAGAGAACAGCAAGCAGCAGCCUGUGAAGAUUUGGUCGUCUUUUUUAAAAAAUUUAUUGCUUUUGACAUUGAAUGACCUACAACUGUACGUGCAUUAUUUGGAGAGAAAGAGGUCAUCUCAUCCCGUCUCCUUGGUGACGGUUUGGUGCACCAUGGCUGUCCGAAACCCAAACGCGAAACCAAGGCAACGGAUGCGACGUACGGAUAAGUAUUGUUCAAAUGAUGUUACCAAGCUUCGCACGCAGAGCUCCACCACCCCCCCAAAAAACAGUAGUAUAUAUAUUUGUUGUAGAUUUCUCAAGCGUGUUGUCAUGACGCCAAUCCCAGAUGAUGUCAGAGAGGAGCAUUGUGGGGGAGGAAAGCAGCUGAAGAGAAAUGGCUCCAACGAUCCAGUCACUUUGGAUACUGUACUUCAGAUGCAAAAUGGAUAUUCGAGCCGAAACCUGACAAAGCGCGCCCGGUUUUGAUGGGAACCGGUAUAGACAAUGACCAGUGGCUGGGUCAGUGGGAUGUCUCUGUGCAACCAGGGAAGCUUAUCAAAUGACACUAAAAAUAAGUUCGACAACCAUCAAGUUUCAGGGGGAAUGGGCCAGGAUUUACACAUUUUGGUGGGCAUGCAAGUGCACGAGACGGGUUGGGCGCGCACGUCGUCUCUGACUUAAUUAUUCCUUUGUUUUGUUUUUAUCUGGGUGGACAGGAAGUGACAGGAAGUGACAGGAAGUGACAAGAAUGACACUGAUGGUCAGAUACACAAUACUUAGGGUGCUGUGAUAUUACUUUCAUACAUAUAUUUUAGUCCUUUUGCCUAAUUUCUCAGUGUAACAUUUUGGUAGGAUAAUCAGCUUCGUUUAGAUAUAUUUAACCUGUUUUUUUUUUUUUUUACAUUCCAUUUUUAUGAUACAUCUGAGAGCACAGAGCUGCUAUUAAACCCAUACUAAUGAGUUAUUUACAUACCAGCCAGAACACAGACAUCCAGCCUAGCAACGCUUCACAUUGGCUUUAGGGGGCGUCUCUUUCUCCUCUUGUGCCAUUUCCAAAUGUUCCAUGGAGAGAUCAAAUUGUUCACUUUUUAUAAAUAAAAAAAUAAAAAAUAAUAUUGGUUUAAAAAUGCUAAUACACCAGUGUACUUUGCCUAAUAUUAUUUUCUUAUAAGUAAUUAUGUAUUUUCUUAUAAAUAAUUAUGUAUUUUCUUGCACUUGCACUAUUUUUCUGCAUGAUGGAUGGAAUGUGAGAUGCCCAAAGAGCCACAUUUUGCUUUUAAAAAGUUGGUUUGAAUGUAGGUAUUGCACUUUCAUCUUGUUGUCAUUUGAGAAUUAGAUACAGUUUUCUAAGAAGCCAUCUCUAUAUCUGUUUUAUUCACAUUUUGGAGGGUUGUAAAAUGAUGCAUAUUUUGUCUUUUUGAAAACAAAACAUUUGAAGAAAAAAAACUGGUAAUCAAAACAAGUGUUCAACUAUGUUUAAAACACUGUAUGAUGCUAUAAUUUAGAUAAGGAAGUUUUAUAAUUUCAUUGCCAGUUUGAAAAUCCUAUUUUUUUUUCUUCAUUAUAGCAGAAUAGCAAAGAAGUCUACAAAAAAUCACAUUCAGCCACAGGCGGUUUAUCUUUCUGAAGAGCAAAAGAAUAAUGUCCCUUUUUAUUGUACCUUGUUGUGUCCUCAUGUCUGCAUUUCAUAUUUUAUCAUAUAUUAUCAAAUAUUAUUAUAUAUUAUUGUUUAAUAUCAUAGCACUUCAGGAUAGAGUUGUUCCAGGUGCUUUGUAGAGACAAAGCAUACUGUUCUUCUUUCAGCAUCAAUUCAAGGUUCUGCAAAUGAUGUAUAGUUCCUUUUUUUUUUUUAUCCGUUUUGUAUAUUCAAUCAUUUUUUUCUUGUUUUUUUUUACAAAUUCUCUACUACUAUCACAUGUUAAUGUUAUUACGAUGACUCAUUGUAAUGUUAAAAUGUGUUGAAUUUAUUAUUAAACCAUCCAAUGGAAA